rnacentral:rRNA from 1 species
UCCUGACACAGGGAGGUAGUGACAAUAAAUAACAAUACGGGGCUCUUUCGGGUCUUGUAAUUGGAAUGAGUACAAUUUAAAUCCCUUAACGAGGAUCAAUUGGAGGGCAAGUCUGGUGCCAGCAGCCGCGGUAAUUCCAGCUCCAAUAGCGUAUAUUAAAGUUGUUGCAGUUAAAAAGCUCGUAGUUGGAUUUCUGGCCGAAGCGACCGGUCGGUACCCUUUGUGGUAUGUGCACUGUUGUCGGCUUCGGCCAUCCUGGCGGAUAAGGUGCCUGGCCUUCUCUGUUCUUGUGUUGGAUCCGCCACGUUUACUGUGAAAAAAUUAGAGUGUUUUAAGCAGGCGAUCGCUGUGAAUACAUUAGCCUGGAAUAUUGAGAUAGGACUUUCGUACUAUUUUGUUGGUUUGCGCACCAAGGUAAUGAUUAAUAGGGAUAGUUGGGGGUAUUCAUAUUCAAUUGUCAGAGGUGAAAUUCUU